rnacentral:rRNA from 1 species
UACGAAGGGGGCUAGCGUUGCUCGGAUUUACUGGGCGUAAAGGGCGCGUAGGCGGACAGUUAAGUCGGGGGUGAAAGCCCGGGGCUCAACCUCGGAAUUGCCUUCGAUACUGGCUGUCUUGAGUGUGAGAGAGGUGUGUGGAACUCCGAGUGUAGAGGUGAAAUUCGUAGAUAUUCGGAAGAACACCAGUGGCGAAGGCGACACACUGGCUCACUACUGACGCUGAGAAGCGAAAGCAUGGGGAGCGAACAGG